GGCCAACAGCCGCGGUAAUCCGAAGGGACCUAGGGUAGUUCGGAAUUACUGGGCUUAAAGAGUUCGUAGGUGGUUAAAAAAGUUGAUGGUGAAAUCACAAGGCUCAACCUUGGAACUGCCAUCAAAACUUUUUAGCUAGAGUAUGAUAGAGGAAAGUGGAAUUUCUAGUGUAGAGGUGAAAUUCGUAGAUAUUAGAAAGAACAUCAAAAGCGAAGGCAACUUUCUGGAUCAUUACUGACACUGAGGAACGAAAGCAUGGGUAGCGAAGAGGAUUAGAUA
rnacentral:rRNA from 1 species